rnacentral:rRNA from 1 species
UACAGAGGGUGCGAGCGUUAAUCGGAAUUACUGGGCGUAAAGCGUGCGUAGACGGCUAUCUAAGUCGGGUGUGAAAGCCCCGGGCUCAACCUGGGAAUUGCAUUCGAGACUGCGUAGCUAGGGUGCGGAAGAGGGAAGCGGAAUUUCCGGUGUAGCGGUGAAAUGCGUAGAUAUCGGAAGGAACACCAGUGGCGAAAGCGGCUUCCUGGUCCAGCACCGACGUUCAGGCACGAAAGCGUGGGGAGCAAACAGG